UACAGAGACUGCAAGCGUUAUUCGGAUUCACUGGGCGUAAAGGGUGCGCAGGCGGCCAAGUGUGUGAGGCGUGAAAGCCCGAUGCUCAACAUCGGAAGUGCACCUCAAACUACAUGGCUAGAGCAUUGGAGAGGGUAGCGGAAUUCACGGUGUAGCAGUGAAAUGCGUAGAUAUCGUGAGGAACACCAGAGGCGAAGGCGGCUACCUGGACAAUUGCUGACGCUCAGGCACGAAAGCGUGGGGAGCAAAAGGG
rnacentral:rRNA from 1 species